rnacentral:rRNA from 1 species
UACGUAGGGGGCGAGCGUUGUCCGGAUUUAUUGGGCGUAAAGAGCUCGUAGGCGGUUCGAUAAGUCGGACGUGAAAUCUCCACGCUCAACGUGGAGGGGCCGUUCGAUACUGUCGUGACUCGAGUCCGGUAGGGGAGUGUGGAAUUCCGGUGUAGCGGUGAAAUGCGCAGAGAUCGGGAGGAACACCCGUAGCGAAGGCGGCACUCUGGGCCGGUACUGACGCUGAGGAGCGAAAGCGUGGGGAGCAAACAGGGAUUAAGAACCGUCCGUGACCGUACCA